rnacentral:rRNA from 1 species
CCUACGGGUGGCAGCAGUGAGGAAUAUUGGUCAAUGGGCGCGAGCCUGAACCAGCCAAGUAGCGUGAAGGAUGACUGCCCUACGGGUUGUAAACUUCUUUUAUAAAGGAAUAAAGUGAGGCACGUAUGCCUUUUUGUCUGUACUUUAUGAAUAAGGAUCGGCUAACUCCGUGCCAGCAGCUGCGGUAAUACGGAGGAUCCGAGCGUUAUCCGGAUUUAUUGGGUGUAAAGGGAGCGUAGAUGGGUUGUUAAGUCAGUUGUGAAAGUUUGCGGCGCAACCGUAAAAUUGCAAUUGAUACUGGUAGUCUUGAGUACAGUUGAGGUAGGCGGAAUUCUUGGUGUAGCGGUGAAAUGCUUAGAGAUCACGAAGAAUGCUGAUUGCGAAGGCAGCCUACUAAACUGCCACUGACAUUGAUGCGCGAAAGUGUGGGUAUCAAACAGGAUUAGAUACCCGUGUAGUC